AACGAACGCUGGCGGCAGGCCUAACACAUGCAAGUCGAGCGCCCCGCAAGGGGAGCGGCGGACGGGUGAGUAACGCGUGGGAACGUGCCCCAAGGUACGGAAUAGCCCCGGGAAACUGGGGGUAAUACCGUAUGUGCCCUACGGGGGAAAGAUUUAUCGCCUUGGGAUCGGCCCGCGUUGGAUUAGGUAGUUGGUGGGGUAAUGGCCUACCAAGCCGACGAUCCAUAGCUGGUUUGAGAGGAUGAUCAGCCACACUGAGACUGAGACACGGCCCAGACUCCUUCGGGAGGCAGCAGUGGGGAAUCUUAGACAAUGGGCGCAAGCCUGAUCUAGCCAUGCCGCGUGAGCGAUGAAGGCCUUAGGGUUGUAAAGCUCUUUCAGGGGGGAAGAUAAUGACUGUACCCCCAGAAGAAGCCCCGGCUAACUCCGUG
rnacentral:rRNA from 1 species